GGAGGGCAAAGUCUGGUGCCAGCAGCCGCGGUAAUUCCAGCUCCAAUAGCGUAUAUUAAAGUUGUUGCAGUUAAAAAGCUCGUAGUUGAAUUUCGGGAUCAAUUCGUCGGUCGUGCUUUCGGGUACGUACUGGUGUUUAUUGGUUUCUCCCUUCUGACGAACCAUGAUGUCAUUAAUUUGGUGUUAUGGGGAGUUAGGACUGUUACUUUGAAAAAAUUAGAGUGUUUAAAGCAG
rnacentral:rRNA from 1 species